CUUGUAUUGCCAACACUGCUGAUGUCUGAAAUAACCAUGGCCUAGGUAAGGUUUGAGUCGUAUAAUUCUUUUAUGUGCUAUAUUAAUCUGAAGUCUUUCUUAUCUGUGAAACGAGAGCAAAGAAAAGGAAGCAUUCGUCUUUAAAACAACCGACUACGCAGCAACAUGCAACCAUGUAUCUACCAUUAUCAUAAGGGUUUGUUAUUAGAAACACAGAGUUAAACAUCCGGAAUUGGCACAGCAGCAAAGCUUCAACUUCAAAAUAGUUGGAAGCCAUACAAGUAAUAGUAUUUAUUUAAAAUUUUACGCUUCUCAAUCUGAAGUUGAGUGCUGAGAAGCUCUUCCCGUAUUCAUAUAUAAUUGAAAUGUUCAAGUGAUGUGAACGAGGUAGGACAUCCAUUUAGAUCCAAAUCAUUCUAACAUCUAGAUAUCUUGCGUAGUUUGUCAUAAGUAAUCCCUCAAUCGUCCUCCAUUUUACUAUACCAUUCUAUUCCACAAAUUCAAAGUUAAUUCCAAUUACAAAGGGAACGGCCUCCUUGCGGAUAUUUAUUUAUUACGUAUAAAUUUAUCUUUGUUUAAUGUAUUUCUUUGAAAGUGAAAAUGCAGGCAGAACGAAACGGAAUCACUAAGAGCCGUUUUGGUCAGUGUGGGAACGGGGUGAAGUUAAAUCCGGCUAAGGUCUAAAGGCGAAGCCUUAAGCACGGGAUUUAUUUAAUAAAUUUACAAUUCGGGUGAUUUUUUUUUCUUAUUUCACAUCAUGUAAACUAUAUAUACACACCUUUUGAUUUUAUGCUUAAUAGGCUUUCUCGAAUAUACGCGGCGGAUGUUUUAAAAUUGCAUUAUGUCUGUAUAUUGGAGUAGGCCUAUCGUAGUUUAAAUCCCAGAAGUGUGUGAUUCAUUCCUCAUCAGGGCAAAACAUAUAGUUAACAAGAUGUCGAAUUCAGUUGUCGAUCGAGGAAGUUUUCAAUGCUUUCUGUUGAUUUCGUCGAAGGUUUUCGGCCGGAUUGCACUCAACUCGUCCCCAUACUGACCGAAAUGGCUCUGGAUGAUUUCGUUUGCUUUCCAACAGACAAACAUUCCAUCUAUUUCAAAGCGUGCUUUAUACUUGAGAAAACCGAAUACGCCUUGAUAGGUCUCUGCACGUGAGGCCGUUUCCCCUGUAGUUGGAAUGAAAUGGUAUGGUAGAAUGGAUGAAAAUUAGAUGAACUUGAAUUAACAGAUAUUUUUCUGGAUUUUUUUAUCGCACACAUCACGUACAGUCUACAUUUUUCAAUAGCAGUGGUACAUAUUAAUCUGUCCUGAUGGUGAAUUAAUAGAAAAUUCUGAUGUUCAAUAAUUCUUGAAAUGCACAAAACUUAUCUUCAAAGGAUUAAGAUUUUAGUUAGUGGUAAUCUUAAUAGCCAUGUUUUUCUUGAAUCGUUAUAAUAUUUUUCCCUUCCAGAUUACAUUAAAUCAAGGGAUUGCUCUCCUACUAUGAUUACAACAAGGAGUCACAUCAAUUCCAAACAAGUUAACAAUGAAGGUUUUAUGGAAAAGCACUAGCACGUAACCUGGAUGAGCCCGGCGGAUCUCCUUAGCCAAGGUUUAAAAUGUUUUCUCUGUCUGGCUGUUACGCAAAACAAGGGUGCGUGACACAUACUAAAUCGGGUUACUAAUAUUGAUGGAUUUACAUUGCGCCGGAAAAAUUGCAGCUAGCAUCAACAGCCGUUAAAUUUCCCAAGGAUCUACGUAGGCGUCUCCAAUUGGAUACGAAACAUCCUACUGACUGUCACCGUUUUACAAUCUGCUGAAAGGUAAUAAACGUUAUUCUUGUUAGACUACUCGGUAUUCUCCUGCGUGUUAUUCCGCGCUAUCCGAUUCAGUUUUCUCUGGGCUAUUUUGAGCGUGUUUUAUACUUUUUACGUUCAAUCGUCUGACUCUGGGGACGAGCGCAAAAAACUAAAAUGUCGUUCUUUUUGGUCAAUAUCUUCAUUAAAUUGGUAUUAGCGCAAAGGGCACACAGGCGUUCGCAAUACCGAACCGAUUGUUUUAUAUGUAAAUGUCGUGUUUUUGUAUCAUGUUGUGUGACCGACAGUUGAUCUUCUAGUAAUUCGUUGUUUUGACUUAACCUUGUCAUUUUGUAUUUUCAUUUUCUAACCGAGAAGACACAAGAAAAACCUGGU